rnacentral:pre_miRNA from 18 species
UUGCUAUAUAUUCAGCCGUACUGUCUGAAAAUAACAUCUGAGGUAGUUUGCAAUGCUGUCGACGUAACUGAAAAGUCAACAUCAUUCCAACUUCCUCGGCUGUUCAAAAGGCUA